AGAGUUUGAUCCUGGCUCAGGAUGAACGCUAGCGGCAGGCCUAAUACAUGCAAGUCGAACGGUGAUAGCAAUAUCAUAGUGGCGCACGGGUGCGUAACACGUAUGCAACCUACCUAUUAUUGGGGGAUAGCCUUUGGAAACGGAGAUUAAUACCCCAUAGUACAUUUGAUUGGCAUCAAUUAAAUGUUAAAGAUUUAUCGGUAUAAGCUGGGCAUGCGUCCAAUUAGUUAGUUGGUGAGGUAAUGGCUCACCAAGACUUUGAUUGGUAGGGGAACUGAGAGGUUAAUCCCCCACACUGGCACUGAGAUACGGGCCAGACUCCUACGGGAGGCAGCAGUAGGGAAUAUUGGGCAAUGGAGGCAACUCUGACCCAGCCAUGCCGCGUGCAGGAAGAAGGCGUUAUGCGUUGUAAACUGCUUUUAUAUAGGAAGAAAUAGUCCUUGCGAGGAAAGUUGACGGUACUAUAUGAAUAAGCACCGGCUAACUCCGUGCCAGCAGCCGCGGUAAUACGGAGGGUGCAAGCGUUGUCCGGAUUUAUUGGGUUUAAAGGGUGCGUAGGCGGUUUAUUAAGUCAGUGGUGAAAGACGGUCGCUCAACGAUUGCAGUGCCAUUGAUACUGGUAG
rnacentral:rRNA from 1 species